AGGGGAUAUUUGGUUGUAGCUGGCUCAUGAAUUUGGGCAUGUGCACACCUAUCUCUUUCAUCCACACACACCUGUGCACUUGUGAGGCAGAUGGGGAAUUUAUUGAUUGUUUUUUAAGAACAAUUGGUGCUGGACCCUCUGUCUACUCAAUAUAUAAACUCAAUUUAUUUAGAAAUGAAUGUAAUGGAUGUAACGCAUCUAAUACUAAGUUUCAACAACGGAUCUCUUGGCUCUCGCAUCGAUGAAGAACGCAGCGAAAUGCGAUAAGUAAUGUGAAUUGCAGAAUUCAGUGAAUCAUCGAAUCUUUGAACGCACCUUGCGCUCCUUGGUAUUCCUUGGAGCAUGCCUGUUUGAGUAUCAUGAAAUCUUCAAAGUAAAUCUUUUGUUAACUCAAUUGGUUCUACUUUGGUAUUGGAGGUCUUUGCAGCUUCACACCUGCUCCUCUUCGUUCAUUAGCUGGAUCUCAGUGUUAUGCUUGGUUCCACUCAGCGUGAUAAGUUAUCUAUCGCUGAGGACACUGUAACAGGUGGCCAAGGGAAAUGCAGAUGAACCGCUUCUAAUAGUCCAUUGACUUGGACACUAUUUUUAUGAUCUGAUCUCAAAUCAGGUAGGACUACCCGCUGAACUU
rnacentral:rRNA from 1 species